rnacentral:rRNA from 1 species
AUUGAACGCUGGCGGCAGGCUUAACACAUGCAAGUCGAGCGAGCGGCGGACGGGUGAGUAAUGUCUGGGAACCUGCCUGAUGGAGGGGGAUAACUACUGGAAACGGUAGCUAAUACCGCAUACCAUCAGAUGUGCCCAGAUGGGAUUAGCUAGUUGGUGGGGUAAUGGCUCACCAAGGCGACGAUCCCUAGCUGGUCUGAGAGGAUGACCGGCCACACUGGAACUGAGACACGGUCCAGACUCCUACGGGAGGCAGCAGGGGGGAAUAUUGCACAAUGGGCGAAAGCCUGAUGCAGCCAUGCCGCGUGUGUGAAGAAGGCCUUCGGGUUGUAAAGCACUUUCAGCGAGGAGGCGUUACUCGCAGAAGAAGCACCGGCUAACUCCGUGCCAGCAGCCGCGGUAAUUC